AGAGUAGUGAAUGGAUGAGGGACAAAAUCAUGUCAGUUUCUCAAUCUAAAAAGCUGGCUAAGACAACUCUCCUCACUUUCCUUCAAUAAUCUCAAAGCUGACCAGAGAGUUUGGCAAAGACCAGAAUAAGGAUAAUCAAAGACACCGACCAUGUAUCUGAAAGUAUGGGAACUGCUUAUUUUACUGUUCAUGCUAGGAUUCCAUUCCUGUGCGCGCAUUACAUGACUCACAAAGAAGGAGUUGGGCUCCAGAAAACUUUGAUUUUACAUGGCAAUAUGGUCUACACUUUAUCACAGACACAUUCAUUGACUACAGAUGACUGUAAUUCUGAGAGCAACAUGAAAAGCACCUUAUGGACCACAGUAAAAACCAAACCAAAGCAACAAGAGGCUGUCUAACGUGAGGCCCUGAGUAAUGAAUUCAGCCCUUCUGAGUCCUUACUGAGAAGUCCCUGAUGAAAAAUAUUCAUUCCCGACUUCUGCUAUCUACAGAGAAUAUGGUGAUGUGUGAGUUCUGAGGCUACGCCAUAAAAGACAUUUCAGCUUCUGCCUUGGUUUCUUGGAUCCUCGGUUCUAGUGGAAGACAGUUGCCAUGACAUGAAGACAUACGAGGAGCCACAAAAGAGGCGCAAAUGAAAGGAACCAACUUGCCAACCAUGUGAGUGACACACCUUGGAAGUGACUUCUCCAGCCCCAGUUAAGCCUGUAGAUGACUGCAGCCUUGGUCAACACCUCCACUGGAACCUCAUGAGACAGAGUCACAACUGCCCAACCAAGCUUCUCCCAUAUACACGGCCCAUAGAAACUGCAAGAAUAAUAAAUAAUUGUUCUUUUUUAACUGCUAAGUUUUUGAGUGAUUUGUUAUGCAGAAAUAAUCACUAAUGCAAUGAAUGCCAACCAAUGAAUAAUUAAUUAAUUCUAAAACAUCUACUGUUUGGAAGUUGUUUUCUGCAGGGCCUCACACCAACGAAUAGAUUUAAUGUGGUAUUUGAUCCCUGAUUACAUUUCCUGCAUAAUCGUUUAUAGUCAAAAUCUGGGAUUUUAUCGUUUAUCAUACAUAGUAUUUAAAUUUUUUCCCACUCUUCUUUCUUUUUUCCCAUUUGACAGAACUGCUGAUAUAAUUUAUUUUCAUGAAACUCCUUAUUGUGCGACUAUUCUGAUUCUGGUCAAGAAAUAGUUUUGCAUCAGUGACCUAUUGCUAUGUAACAAACCACUCAAAAACUCAGUAUUUUAAAACAAUGACAAUUUACAGAUGGUCCCCUUAUAAAUGAUUU